GAACGCGGACGCGGAUUCCGAGCCACUCGCGAUUGCGAAAACGCAUCGUAAUUUUAGUUUUUAUACAUUUUUUAAAUCACCUUACGAUGAGCGUUAGCUCGAAACAGCUGUAGUGAAGAAUGAGCAACAAUUUUCAGAAAAAUCGAUCGACACUUCCAGGAACUUGCCAUAUCAGAUGUAGUACAUCGCUGCUUAGUGGCAUUCGCUCUGUACCUCUCGACAUUCCCUGUCAUGUGUGGAAGGAACGUCGGGUAGAGAAUCGAUGGCUACCGUAAUAUCUUCAAUGAUCAGAGUGACCAUUUUCUGAGACCAUCAUACUCAGGUCACCUGGCCGGGAAUCGAACCUGGGACCUCUUGGUAGGGCAGUGCUACAACCACUACACCACAGAAGACCGACAUAAUGCACUCAUAGUGUUUCAAGUGUUCCCCGGUACUUAUACCAGUUCUAAAUGGUCGGAUUCAUUGUCGCAAAGUGGAUUUUCCCAACCCAAUGGAUUGCAGAUUCGAGCAAGUUGGAACUUCAAAAUUUUCGGUGGUGUCGUAAUUUCAAAGGGACUAGGAUUUCCCUCAUUAGAAGUUUGAAUCAAUAUUUGUACUGCAUUUAAUAAAAACUUCGUAAAAGUUUCUGGUUUUAAGCCGAGUUUAAUUUGAUGAGCUUGA